CUGCACUUAGUGUUGUUGGAGAUGCAGUUGAGGCGUUAUGUUAUAAAUGCAAGUUUAAGACUUUUGCUUAAUUGAGGAGCAGAGAUCCAGAGGAGUGUGAAGGCUGGGGAAGGGGUAAAGGUGCAGUUAAUUCUCUAACGGAUGCUGGCUGGGAUUCUGGGUUACUCUGCACACAGGGCAGUUCUCCAUUUGUGGUGGUGAAGGAGCUGCUGACCACAGCCAAGGCUAAAAGGGACCAGGAGUGCCUUGUCACAGGAUGUGGAUGGUGACUGAGCCACUAAUGUAAACUUGUAUCCUGAUUGUUUUAAAAACAUGUAUUAUUGGCCUGGUUCAUAGCAAUAAUGAGUUUUCAGUUCCUGUCAUCAAAAGAAAGCAACAAGAGGAGCAAAGCAAACGCUGUGGAUAAAUACAACCCAUCCCUGCCCAGUCACAGUUGCAGAGACCUACUGCAGAAAAUGGAACCAGAAAGAUCUGGAGACACACACUGGGAGAAAUCCUCUUUAAUACAGCGCUUCAAAUGGAAUGCCUGCAGUGCUACAUGGCAAAUUUAAAGCUAAAAUCCACACCUCAUUAACAACGAAUCCUGAUGAGUAAGUUAAGUAGAAGAAACAUCAAUAAUUUAUGGUGAUGAACUCAGCGUUUUCUCUCUCCUUUUUUUUCUUUUUGUGUUGCAUCUGUCUUUGGAAGCCUCCAGUAUGUUACAAAUGAAGUGCCAGAGAUGAGCUAGAAAGAAAAAAGCUAGGAGCUUUUCCAGGGAGACAGAGAAUAAAUAUAGAACUCCACAAAUGCAAACACACAUGCUUUGGACAGUUAAGAAUUUUUAAUCACACAGUGUUUUAUCUUCUCAGAACUUCCCAAGUGGCAAAAUAUAUCCCCAGGAAAAGAAAUGACAGCAGACAAAAAGCAAAGAGAACCAGAAAACAAAAUUCAAAUCAGAAAGCUUACCAUAAUACAAUUCAGAAUUCUUUGUUCCCUGAAUGAUAAAAGAAAAGUAGUUGUCAAGACUAUGGCCAGUUUUACUCAAAGAAGGCUACCAAUUUAACAGUGGGUAAAUAUCUUCCAGAUAUCUUGGCUGAGAAAGAGCAGAGAGAAUGAACCAAAUGAUUAGAUUUCAAAGUGUGAGUGAUAUAGCUGCAUUUUGUAUUGGUGUUUGUCAGCCUGUGUUAUUUCUGCAGUUGCCUAGCAUGGCUUUACCUUAGAGCUCUACCCUACAGUAAUUCCCAGAUCAGAUAUCCCAUGUGUAACAGUAGAAGGAACCUUUUUUCAGAAGGUCUGCUGUAUGUUGGUGAUCUCUUUUAUCCAGCUCUAUUACUGUUACCUCCUUUUUUGAAUAAGCACUUGGCAAAUAUAAUUUCUGCUGGUGAAGGAAACUGAAGAUGGAGACAGGCGUUCCUUUGAAGAAGAUACCUGUCUUUUCGAAGACUAUAAAAAUUCUGCUACCUUAAAUACAAUAAAAACCUAAUAUUACGAAGCUUUAAAUGAAAUAAUUUCUUUCUUCAAAGUCCUCAAACUCUUUCCAUGGUACUACACAUGUUCUUUUACUCAGAGUCAUAGUAUGGGAAGCUUUCUUGAUGUGGAUCCCUCCUGUGCCUCCACUGCAGUUGGACAUCUGAAUAAAAGUGCAUUUGAAUCAA
ensembl:lncRNA